CUCCUCCAGGCUGGCAGAGUGUGUCUUGGACAGGUCGGCAGCAGAAGACAGGGUGGUUGCAGAUGUGGAUGGCUUGGCUGCUGUAGUGUUCUUCUUCCUGUCAGCCCUGGGGCUGUCCAGAGACAGCUCUACUGUGGCUUCUGCCCACCACCACCACCACCACAAGCACAGGGCCGCCCCGUGGACCCCGUUGGUCCUGGAGCUGCUGGCGGCGGCGGCGGCGGCGGCCUUCGCGGCAGUGGGCGCUAUGGUAACCGCUUCCUCAGAAAAAAUGUCGGCCGGUUCCUUCUCGUAGUUGUUAUUCAAAGGCCCGCCCACGUCACCAAAACCAGCACCACCACCACCGAGACCGCUGGUCUUGGUCCCGACCGUGGUCUCCCUCUGUUCCCGGCUCGCCAUGUUCCCGGCUUUCUUCGCGGCGGGGGCGCCCAGCGGCUCGCCGAAGAUGUCCUCGUCCACCUCGCCGAAGAGGCUGGAGGGCUGCGGCGGCUGCUGCUUGGCCGACUUGGCGUGCCGGGACUCCCCGAACAGGUCGUUGGGAUCGUCUUCAAACAGGUCCAGGGGAGGCUGCGGCGGCUGCUGCUGCUGGGGGCGGGUUGCUUCACCGCGGCCGUGGGAGGCGGCCCGGCGUCGGCGAGGUUUGCCAGGGGGUCGAAGAAGAGGUCUUCGGACAGCGGUUGUUUUUCGCCGUUGGCAGAGGCCUGGCCGAUGUCGACCUCUAGCAGAGCUCCGGGCUGCUCGUGCGCGGCGCUUCCUGUGGCGACAUCGCCGGGGGGGAGGGCAGUGCUCACGUCCUGUGGGUCGGACGAGGCUGCCGCUGAGUCAGCAGGAACCUCCAGCAGCGUUUCCUCCUGCGACGAGUCGCUAUCACUUCCCGAUAGGUCGACAAAAUCCUCGCAGGCUUCUUCUGAGGGCGUCUCGGCCUCGACCUCCACCAAGGGGCUCUCUGCAGCAGAGAGCCCGGCGGUCGCCUGGACGCUCGGGACGUCCGUCGAGAGGUCGACGAGGUCAUCAAACUCAUCCAGGGGUUCCUCCACGAGUUCGGCCACAGGUUCGGCCACGGUCUCGACCACGGCUUCGACCAGGGGUUUGACCACGGCUGCGGCGGCCGGCUUGGUUUCCGUCUCAAGGAUGGGGCUACUCAUGAGGUCAAGGGGCGGCUCAAACAGUACCUCGCUGGGUGCAUUGGUUAUCGUUGUUGGCAGUGCAGGGUCCAUGUCUGACAUUGUAGGACCGCUCUGUGGGAAAGGUGUUUAAAGAGAUGACGGUUGAAAUGGGUACUUCUGGGCACUUGAAUGCAAAACACGAUAAUCACUGCCCUUUAAAAACAUCAGGGUCUAUUGAUUAAUUAUUAAUUCAUUAUUGAUUCACUGUGAUAAUGAAUCAGAAUUCUUAAUUAUUGACAUUAUGCACGCACACACACACUACAAAAUAAAUUAAAACUUAAUAUCUUGUUCAGAAUUACAUAUUCAUAUCUUGCAUGCAAUUCAUACAAGAUAUGACCUAGUAACGCAAUGAGUGAGUGCAAUUAUGUUUCAUUGCUG
ensembl:lncRNA